rnacentral:rRNA from 1 species
GGUAGGGGAGCGUCGUGUGGGCAGUGAAGCGGCGGAGUGAUCCAGCCGUGGAGGCCACGCGAGUGAGAAUGCAGGCAUGAGUAGCGAAUGGGGAGUGAGAACCUCCCCCACCGAAUGACCAAGGGUUCCUGGGCCAGGUUAAUCCGCCCAGGGUGAGUCGGGACCUAAGACGAGGCCGACAGGCGUAGCCGAUGGACAACGGGUUGAUAUUCCCGUACCCGCGUAGAAGCGCCCAUGGCGAACGAUUUGAUGCUAAACGCCCGGACCUAGCCGGCCCUUCGGGGAAGGUGUGGCGAGCGCGUGACCCGAUUUUCUAGUAGUUAAGCGAUGGGGUGACACAGGAAGGUAGCUCCGCCCGUCAGUGGUAACACGGGUGUAAGGGUGUAGGUAGCGGGGCCAGGCAAAUCCGGUUCCGUGUUGAUCUGAGACCUGAUGCAUAGCCGAUUGAGGCGAAGUAGAGUGAUCCUAUGCUGUCGAGAAAAGCCUCUAGCGAGCUCUGAGCGGCCCGUACCCCAAACCGACACAGGUGGUCAGGUAGAGAAUACCAAGGUGAUCGAGCGAACUAUGGUUAAGGAACUCGGCAAAAUACCCCCGUAACUUCGGGAGAAGGGGGGCCGGGGUGUGUGAAUUCCCCUUGCGGGAUAAGCGCGUUCCGGCCGCAGAGACCAGGGAGAAGCGACUGUUUACUAAAAACACAGGUCCAUGCGAAGUCGCAAGACGAUGUAUAUGGACUGACGCCUGCCCGGUGCUGGAAGGUUAAGAGGACGGGUCAACUGUCAUGGUGAAGCUCAGAAUUU